AUGGCACAGCAAGGGCGUCGCUGUCCCUCCUCCCUCUUUACGUACCCUUUACAUGCUCUCCUCCCUCUUUACAUGCUCUCCUCCCUCUUUACGUCCCCUUUACAUUCUCUCCUCCCUCUUUACAUGCUCUCCUCCCUCUUUACGUCCCCUUUACAUUCUCUCCUCCCUCUUUACAUGCUCUCCUCCCUCUUUACGUCCCCUUUACAUUCUCUCCUCCCUCUUUACGUUCCCUUUACAUGCUCUCCUCCCUCUUUACGUUCCCUUUACAUGCUCUCCUCCCUCUUUACGUUCCCUUUGCAUUCUCCCCUCCCUCUUUCGUCUCCUUUAAAUUCUCCCCUCCCUCUUUACAUCCCCUUUACAUUCUCCCCUCCCUCUUUACGUCCCCUUUACAUUCUCCCCUCCCUCUUUACGUCCCCUUUACAUUCUCUCCUCCCUCUUUACGUCCCCUUUACAUUCUCUCCUCCCUCUUUACGUCCCCGUUACAUUCUCUCCUCCCACUUUACGUCCCCUUUACAUUCUCUCCUCCCUCUUUACGUCCCCUUUACAUUCUCCCCUCCCUCUUUACGUCCCCUUUACAUGCUCUCCUACUUUACGUCCUUUACAUUCUCUCCUCCCUCAUUACGUCCCCGUUACAUUCUCUCCUCCCACUUUACGUCCCCUUUACAUUCUCUCCUACCUCUUUACGUCCCCUUUACAUUCUCUCCUCCCUCUUUACGUCCCCUUUACAUUCUCUCCUACCUCUUUACGUCCCCUUUACAUUCUCUCCUCCCUCUUUACGUCCCCUUUACAUUCUCUCCUCCCUCUUUACGUCCCCUUUACAUUCUCUCCUCCCACUUUACGUCCCCUUUACAUUCUCUCCUACCUCUUUACGUCCCCUUUACAUUCUCUCCUCCCACUUUACGUCCCCUUUACAUUCUCUCCUCCCUCUUUACGUCCCCUUUACAUUCUCUCCUCCCACUUUACGUCCCCUUUACAUUCUCUCCUACCUCUUUACGUCCCCUUUACAUUCUCUCCUACCUCUUUACGUCCCCUUUACAUUCUCUCCUACCUCUUUACGUCCCCUUUACAUUCUCUCCUCCCACUUUACGUCCCCUUUACAUUCUCUCCUACCUCUUUACGUCCCCUUUACAUUCUCUCCUACCUCUUUACGUCCCCUUUACAUUCUCUCCUCCCACUUUACGUCCCCUUUACAUUCUCUCCUCCCACUUUACGUCCCCUUUACAUUCUCUCCUACCUCUUUACGUCCCCUUUACAUUCUCUCCUACCUCUUUACGUCCCCUUUACAUUCUCUCCUACCUCUUUACGUCCCCUUUACAUUCUCUCCUCCCACUUUACGUCCCCUUUACAUUCUCUCCUCCCACUUUACGUCCCCUUUACAUUCUCUCCUCCCUCUUUACGUCCCCUUUACAUUCUCUCCUCCCUCUUUACGUCCCCUUUACAUGCUCUUCUACUUUACGUCCUUUAACGUCCCCCUUUACAUUCUCUCUUCCCUCUUUACGUUGGUAUUUAGGCUUAUGUUGA
rnacentral:lncRNA from 1 species